UGGGGAAUUUUGGACAAUGGGCGAAAGCCUGAUCCAGCAAUGCCGCGUGUGUGAAGAAGGCCUUCGGGUUGUAAAGCACUUUUGUCCGGAAAGAAAUCCUUGGCUCUAAUACAGUCGGGGGAUGACGGUACCGGAAGAAUAAGCACCGGCUAACUACGUGCCAGCAGCCGCGGUAAUACGUAGGGUGCAAGCGUUAAUCGGAAUUACUGGGCGUAAAGCGUGCGCAGGCGGUUUGCUAAGACCGAUGUGAAAUCCCCGGGUCUCAACCUGGGAACUGCAUUGGUGACUGGCAGGCUAGAGUAUGGCAGAGGGGGGUUAGAAUUCCACGUGUAGCAGUGAAAUGCGUAGAGAUGUGGAGGAAUACCGAUGGCGAAGGCAGCCCCCUGGGCCAAAUACUGACGCUCAUGCACGAAAGCGUGGGGAGCAAAACAGGAUUAGAUACCCUGGUAGUCCACGCCCUAAACGAUGUCAACUAGUUGUUGGGGAUUCAUUUCCUUAGUAACGUAGCUAACGCGUGAAGUUGACCGCCUGGGG
rnacentral:rRNA from 1 species